rnacentral:rRNA from 1 species
UACGGAGGGUGCGAGCGUUAAUCGGAAUUACUGGGCGUAAAGCGUGCGUAGGCGGCUCGUUAAGUCAGAUGUGAAGGCCCUGGGCUCAACCUGGGAACUGCAUUUGAAACUGGCGAGCUAGAGUUGAGUAGAGGGGAGUGGAAUUUCAGGUGUAGCGGUGAAAUGCGUAGAUAUCUGAAGGAACACCAGUGGCGAAGGCGACUCCCUGGACUCAAACUGACGCUGAGGUACGAAAGCGUGGGUAGCAAACAGG